GGGAAAAGGUAUAAUAACUGGAUAAGACAAAACUUUGCUUUCCGAAAAUGGUGGACAUCUUGAUCUGACCAAAAGUUGGGCUAAAUCGCUUUUACAGCGAAUGAAUUUCGUGAAGCGCCGUGGUUCAACAACUUGUAAGAACGACAAAGUUGAAAAUUUUGAAGAACUCAAAAAUGAAUUUCUUGAACGUAUUGAAAAAACCGUGACAGAGUAAUACAUUCCUUCUGACUUGAUCAAAAACUGGGACCACGCUGGAUUAAAUAUUGUGCCCGUGUCAAAAUGGACAAUGGCUUCGGAAGGAUCAAAGCGUGUCGAAAUAGCGGGGCUUGGAGAUAAACGCCAGAUCACGGCCGUCUUCGCAGGGACACUCUCAGGCAAAUUUCUUAGUAAUUCACCUGACAUUAUUCGCAAUGGAUUUAAGGAGACCGGGAUCGCUAACACUUUAAAGGCUCAUCUUGAAGAUGAAAUCCCUUUGGCCAGAGCGUUUACUAAGUAAUUCUGAGUACUCAUGACACAUUUGUAAAUAUUUGAAUAAAGAAUUUGAUGCUUUGA
rnacentral:misc_RNA from 1 species